GUGGUCUCUCAGAAAGCUGAGCAUGUUGCUGCUCUGAGAAAAUUCAUGGCUCAGUUAUUAGAGUAGGAGGAAGGGUAAAUGUAGGCACACAGGUAGAAUUUUCUGUUAGAAGGGCGGAAAAAUGAGACAGAACCUCCCUGUCCUCAUGCGGCUCACAGGGGAGAUGCAAGUUAAUGGAAGAACUACAUCCACACAAAUAAAAUCACCACUAGGGUAAGCGGGAUGAGAGCCUGUUGUAAAGAGAUUUGGGAACUGACCAGAGAUAUAACUGCAGAGGAGGAGAAGGAGGGUGGAGGGAGAAGGAAGCACUUCCCAAGAGCAGAGAAAGGUAGGACUCAGACCAGACUAGUGGGCCCCCAGCUGAGUUUUCUGAUGUGAAAGGGAAGCUCAGGCUGCUGAGGAUGCAGAGGCUGGCAGGGGUCUAUGACUAAGGUGUCAGCAGCCGAUGGGAGAUUUUGUUUCUCCAGGUUUAUCCCAGUCCUAAGCCCUUUCCCUGAGGAUCCCGUCAGCCUCCACUCAGGGGCUGGAGUGAAGUUCACAGUACUAAAGGACUCUCUGCCUCGGGCCCUUCCCUCUGCUUUCUUCCCAAUUCCAGGAUGCAAUUGUGCCACCCAGUAAUUUAUCCUCUUUGUGUAUGAUGCCCGAAUAACAUGCCUUUUGAAUGGUUCUGAUUAAAGGAUGAAGGAAUUGCAUUCUAUAAUUUGCGAAUUCAUAAUAUUCUCAAAG
rnacentral:lncRNA from 1 species